GCCUAGCCUUAAAACAACAGUUAAACCAUAAAUUGUUCGCCCAAUAACUACGAGUAAAAACUUAAAAUUUAAAAGACUUGACGGUACUUCACAACAACCUAGAGGAGCCUGUCCAAUAACCGAUACUCCACGAUUAACCCCACCUGCCCUGGCCCCAACAGUCUAUAUACCACCGUCGCCAGCUUACCUUGUGAAAGAAAUCAAAGUGAGCCUAACAACAAUACAUUCACACGACAGGUCGAGGUGUAACUAAUGAGCAGGUCAAAGAUGGGCUACACUUUCUUAGACAGAAAAUACGGAUCAACUAUGAAAUUAGAAAUUGAAGGCGGAUUUAGCAGUAAGCUAACAAUAGAAUACUUAGCUAAAACUAUAGCAAUGAAGUGCGUACACACCGCCCGUCAUCCCUGUAAAACACACAAAUAUAUACAUAAUCCUCUUCAUACCUAAAACAGGGCAAGUCGUAACACGGUAAGCGUACUGGAAAGUGCGCUUAGAAA
rnacentral:rRNA from 1 species